UACGGGGGGAGCAAGCGUUGUUCGGAUUUACUGGGCGUAAAGGGCACGUAGGCGGCGCAACAAGUCACUUGUGAAAUCUCCGGGCUUAACCCGGAGCGGUCAAGUGAUACUGUCGUGCUAGAGUGCGGAAGGGGCUACUGGAAUUCUCGGUGUAGCGGUGAAAUGCGUAGAUAUCGAGAGGAACACCUGCGGCGAAGGCGGGUAGCUGGGCCGACACUGACGCUGAUGCGCGAAAGCCAGGGGAGCGAACGGG
rnacentral:rRNA from 1 species